AUUGAACGCUGGCGGCAGGCCUAACACAUGCAAGUCGAACGAGUGGCGGACGGGUGAGUAAUGCCUGUGCAACUGCCUGAUGGAGGGGGAUCACUACUGGGCACGGUAGCUAAUACCGCAUACCUUCGCCUGUGCCCAGCUGGGAUUAGCUAGUUGGGGGGGUAAAGGCUCACAUAGGUGACGAUCCGUACCUGGUCUGAGAGGAUGACCAGCCACACUGGAACUGAGACACGGUCAAGACUCCAACGGGAGGAAGAAGUGGGAAAUAUUGGACAAUGGGCGAAAGCCUGAUGCAGCCAUGCCGCGUGUAUGAAGAGGGCCUUCGGGUUGUAAAGUACUUUAAGCGGGGAGGCGUUACCCGCAGAAGAAGCACCGGCUAACUCCGUGCCAGCAGCCGCGGUAAUAC
rnacentral:rRNA from 1 species